UGCGUAGACGGUUAUGUAAGUCGGGUGUGAAAGCCCCGGGCUCAACCUGGGAAUGCCAUUCGAGACUGCAUAGCUAGGGUGCGGAAGAGGGAAGCGGAAUUUCCGGUGUAGCGGUGAAAUGCGUAGAUAUCGGAAGGAACACCAGUGGCGAAAGCGGCCUCCUGGUCCAGCACCGACGUUCAGGCACGAAAGCGUGGGGAGCAAACAGGAUUAGAUACCCUGGUAGUCCACGCCAUAAACGAUGAGAACUAGACGUUGAGAGGGUAAGCCUCGCAGUGUCGUAGCUAACGCGCUAAGUUCUCCGCCUGGGGAGUACGGCCGCAAGGUUGAA
rnacentral:rRNA from 1 species